CAGCCGCCGCGGUAAUACGAAGGGGGCUAGCGUUGCUCGGAAUUACUGGGCGUAAAGGGAGCGUAGGCGGACAUUUAAGUCAGGGGUGAAAUCCCAGAGCUCAACCCUGGAACUGCCUUUGAUACUGGGUGUCUUGAGUGUGAUAGAGGUAUGUGGAACUCCGAGUGUAGAGGUGAAAUUCGUAGAUAUUCGGAAGAACACCAGUGGCGAAGGCGACAUACUGGAUCAUUACUGACGCUGAGGCUCGAAAGCGUGGGGAGCAAACAGGAUUAGAUACCCCUGUAGUCCCUGUCUCUUAUAC
rnacentral:rRNA from 1 species